rnacentral:rRNA from 1 species
UACGUAGGGAGCAAGCGUUGUCCGGAAUCAUUGGGCGUAAAGAGCGUGUAGGCGGCCAGGUAGGUCUGGUGUGAAAACUCGAGGCUUAACCUCGAGAUGUCAUCGGAAACCAUCUGGCUAGAGUCCGGAAGAGGAGAGUGGAAUUCCUGGUGUAGCGGUGAAAUGCGCAGAUAUCAGGAAGAACACCAAUGGCGAAAGCAGCUCUCUGGGACGGUACUGACGCUGAGACGCGAAAGCGUGGGGAGCGAACAGG